CAGGUGUGAAGCGGAACAAAGUCUGAUUGACCUUUGACAUCAAAAGGUUCCAAUCGCCAUCGCCAAUGUUUAUCGCUGUCAAAGCGCGCCCUCCGCUGGACGAAAUGUGUCGGUUCAGCCCAAGCUCCCCGGCAGCUGUCAACGGCUCGUGUUCCUCACCUCUGGACACCGGCAUGUAGCGCGCCGACGACACGGAGGGUCUGAGCAGGCGCAACGUGUUGGA